CGCCAGCGCUGUCCUGCUCCUUGGGGCUGUCCCCACCCCAGGGUCUGCCCGGUCCCGGCAGCUCCCUGGAACAGCCUUAAAAUGUAGGGAAAUGUUAACGGGGGCGGGAUUGAAGCUGGUCAGAUUUUAUGCCUCAUUAUAAUAUAAAGGUUUUAGGUGCCAUUUUUGGGGUGACAUUUUUUGGCUGUAGUUCUUGUGGGUGUCAUUUUUAGGUGCCAUUUUUGGGGGUGUCAUUUUUUGGGUGUCAUUUUUUAGGUGUAGUUUCUUUGGGUGUCAUUUUUUAGUUGUAGUUUUUGUAGGUGCCAUUUUUCAGGAGCCAUUUUUGGGUGUAGUUUUUUUGGGUAUCAUUUUUUGGGUGUCAUUUUUCGGUGUCAUUUUUAGGUGUCAUUUUUUUAGUGUUAUUUUUUGGGUGUCAUUUUUAGGUGCCAUUUUUGGGGGGUGUCAUUUUUUAGCUGUAGGUUUUUUGGGUGUCAUUUUUAGGUGCCGUUUUUGGGGAUGUCAUUUUUUGGGUGUCAUUUUUUAGGUGUAGGUUUUUUGGGUGUCAUUUUUAGGUGCCAUUUUUGGGUG
rnacentral:lncRNA from 1 species